CAGAAAAUAGUUUAUAAAACAUUAGCUUUGGAAGCUAAAGAUCGGGACCCCCUGUUUUCUGA
rnacentral:tRNA from 1 species